AUGCAAAGUAGGGAGGCCGGCGGGAAGGAUUCAGGGGUGGAAUUGCUGGAGUCACAGAUGGAGAGCAGGAGCCUUGCUGGAAGGCUCACGCGGAGGUGGAGCUGUGGGGAGGGGCUUGGACCAUUUCCUUGCAGGGCAAGUGAACAGAGGCAUAGGACACACGGGAGCUAAAGUCAAAUUAAAAAGACCAGAAGUGGGGACACAGAGUGAAACUCGGCUCGCCGUCCCUAAGCCCCGGAGUGGUGUUCUUGAAGCACCCAGGGCUCGAUCUAAAAAUCAGACCGUGAACUCAGACGCCAGCAUUGCGAUGUGGGCUUCCCACUCGCACAGCACAUGGUCACUGAAACCAUCCCAAGGGAAUUUAAAGCAGCAGGACCCCGGCGUUACUGUUUGGUUGUUGCCUGGAGCCAGUGGAACAUCCGACCCACGCAUGGAGGCUGCUCAGCGCUUCUGCAUGAAUUAAAUGAGGUAACAGAGUAACUUUUCCUAUAAAUAUUGGAGGUACUUCAUAAUGUAUUUUAAAAGAUGUUUCCUUGGACAAGAAGUGCUCUGCUAUAUGCCGUGGGACGUGCACCUCACAAAGCAGAUGCAGGUGCUGCUUGUGACCUGCAGUCUGGAUCCAUAGGUUUAAGUCCUUUCCAGUCCUGGUGCCUCACUUAGCAAAUGAGGGCACUGAGACCCCGGGAGAACAAGGGGUUCGUGGGAGGUGAUCACGUGGGUGAUUACACGGAUCUCAGGAUCCAUGUGGUUAGUUGACACACGAGCUGUUCCCAUGUCCUUUGUGGUACAGGUGAAAUGACCCAGUGGGAAGAGCCUGGCUGUUGAGUUAGACAAAAUCAGCUCCGCUGUGUGCCCCUUGGGCUGGUGGGACAUGUACUCCAACUGUCUGGGCUUCAGUUCUUCCAAGCGAUAGAGUGUAUCUUUUUAUUGAAGUAUAAUUGAUUUACAAUGUUGUCUUAAUUUCUGCUGUGUAUCAGAACGAUUCAGAUACAUACACACACAUAUGCGUUCUUUUUAAUUCUUUUCCGUUAUGGUUUAUCAUGGGAUAUUGAAUAUAGUCCCCCACGCUCUAGAGUAGAACCUCGUUGUUUAUCCAUUCCAUAUAUAAAAGAGUUUGCAUAUACUGUGCGAUAUUAGCUUAUGCCUCAUAUAUAAGAGUUCUUCUGUCUUUGUACUAAAAGAAGGAGAACUGGGAGACAGAUACACAUGUCCCACAUCAUGUCAUUUUUGUCAUUUUUUUCUCUGUGUAUGUGUGUGUGUGUGGUGCUGCUCCUGAAGCAUGUGGAAGUUCUUGGGCCAGAGAUUGAACCUGUGCCACAGUAGUGGCGUGAGCUGCUACAGUGACAACACCAGGUCCUUAACCUACUGAACCACAAGGGAACUCCUGUUUUUUUUUUUUAAUUGAACGAGUUGCAGACAUUUAACCCUUUGUAUAAAACCUAGAGGUCUGGCUUCUUUUGACC
rnacentral:lncRNA from 1 species